AUUUGAUAAUUUUGUAAGCCAUAAAUAUAUUUAAAUAUGGAUUUUAUUGACUAAUUUAUCCAGUUUAAGAUAUUAAAUAAUAUAAGAAAUUAUAUUUUAGAUAAUUUAUUAACUUAGGUUUAUUAGGUGCCAGCAACCGCGGUCAAACCUAAUAAGUUAGUUUAUGAGGAACAGUAAAUAUAACAAAUUUCUUAAAAGUAAUAUAAUAAUUGGUGAAAUAUUAUUAUGAUAUUAAAUUUAUGUAAGUAAUUAAUAUACCAAACUCUCGAAUAAAACUAGGAUUAGAGACCCUACUAUUAUGAGUUUAACUAAAUAUUUACUAAGGAGUAAAACUAUAUAGUUUAAACUUAAAAAUUAUGGCGGCCAAAUAAACCACUUAGGGGAACUUACCAUAUAAU
rnacentral:rRNA from 1 species